AGUUUUGUUCUUCUGUGCAGGUGAAUGGUGGAAGUCAGACGUUGAAGCAGUCAUCAAUGAAGCUCUGAAGUCUGGCUUGGCCCCUAACGUCUCCGACGCUCACACCAUCAAUGGCUAUCCAGGGCCGGUCCCACGCUGCUCAUCACAGAGUAGAUAUACAUCAUUUAGUUGCAGAUUUUAAUGGUUAAUCAGUCAAGUUCUUUUUCAUACAUCAGAAUGAUGGAGAUGCUUAAUUAUUUGCAGGAGGCUAUACACUAACAGUAGAAUCCGGCAAGACCUACAUGCUUCGAAUCAUCAACGCUGCACUCAAUGAGGAGCUCUUCUUCAAGAUCGCCGGUCACAAACUCACUGUUGUUGAAGUUGAUGCUGCUUAUACCAAGCCCUUCAAGACAAAUACCAUUGUCAUUGCCCCCGG
rnacentral:lncRNA from 1 species